rnacentral:lncRNA from 1 species
CCCACAUCUCAAGAGCCUGUGCUCUAAAUACCGCUUUCUGCUGUGGACCGGAGAACUUCUUUCUCUGAGCAUCUAGGCCCCAGUAGCAAAGCACUGCUAUGUCUAGACUAAUUCUUGGGGUAGUGAGGUGCACCAGGAAGCCCCAACCGAAGAAUGGAAGCCUGAAGUUAUGACUUUUAGGAAGAACAGUUCGACCUCACACUUUCCAAAUGACCGGGCCCCAAAUGAGAACAGGAGGUGAAAGAGUUAAAGGCCUUGAGAAUACAGCUCACAUCCACUCCAGCGUGCAGCGGAGACUCCAAAACUGGCACCUCGCUGGACUCCAGGGGCCGGGGAAGUCUCAGUUCCCGACCUAGGCUAUCUUUUCCUACCCUCGACACACAAAGUGGGCAAUCACAUCUUGAGGGGGCCUUAGAUUUCCAAUCCAACCCAAUAUUGAUGGGCCAGCAGGAAGAACCCUUCAGGAUAGGGCACGUGGACGCCGGGCUCCCGCCGCGUCCGGCCAGCACAGGAAGUUUGGGGAGCUGGGCAGGGGACAGAAGCGGGGGAUGCCUGGACUCCAGCAGUGUGGCGGGGUGGAGAGGCUUUUCCGGGUCUCCCCUCGGGGCCCGCCCUUCCUAGCUCGCAGGCCGGCGGCUAGCGCCACGUCAGCGGCGAGGCCCGAGCGCGGCCCACGCCCCCGGCGCAGCCUGCGCGGCCUCGCGCCCUCUCCCCGGUCCCCGGCUCCAGGUCCCUGGUCCCCGGUCCCAGAUCGGGCUCCGCCGGCCUGCUGGAGCUGCAGUUACCAGGGCGCGAAGAACAUGACGAAGUGCGCGGCGCUCUGGAUCCCGUGCGUGAACAUGUCGGCCGUAUACAGACCUUCAGCUCCCGACAUAUUGGAUCUACUGAGCAUCCCACCAUCAUCUGCCCUUGCAGUUUUUGCCAUCCUCCCAGGACACUCUCCUAUUUCACUGAAGACUGUGGUGCCUUCCAGAUGACAGAAUUCCCAACAACCCUUUCCUGUCAUCAUUCCUGGUGACUUUGGUGAUUUUGACAUUUCCAUCAGGAACCCCUUUAUACAAGGGAAUCUAGAAUGUUUACUGUUUCUAAUAUCUGGAUAAAGGUGCUAGGGUUUGGGUCUUGAAUGUAAACCUCUGUGGGUCCAUGUGUUGGAGACCUAUCUCCAGAGUGGUGCUAGUGGAAGGGGGUAGAAUUUUUAGAUGCAGGGUGGGAGGUUUUAAGAUCAUUGAAGGUGUGUCUUCAGAGGCGAUCUCAGGAGCCCUACCACUCAUUCCCUGCCUCCUAAGGUGAGGAGCUGUAUUCCCACCCUGGGGAGCUGUCUAAAGCACUGAGGUGGCUAUGAACACUGCCCAGAACCUCCAAGCCUGACAGUCAAAUACUUUUCUUCUUUGUGUCUCAGGUAUUAACUGCAGUGGCCAAUUGUUGUGGAGGCUCUCUGUUACUGGUAUGGUUACUGUUUCUGUCAAUGUGACUCUGACCAGGAAUACUCUAUUGACUGUUUCUCUGCGGCAUUGAUACAAUGACAGGAACUCCACCUGAGUCUGCCAUCCUUUUGGCUUCUCUAUUAAAGGCUCAGAGCUUUGCCUCCAACUCACCUUCAUCCUCUCUCUCUCUCUCUCUCUCUCUCUCUCUCUCUCUCUCUCCCUCUCUCUCUCUCUCUCUCAGACCUCAUUCAUCCCCAUAGCUGUACACACUUCCAACGCAGACAGCACCACAAACCUUUCACUACGAAGAACUUGUCUGACCCGAGAAGGAGAGAACUCUUGCACUGUGUCUCUCUGAUGGGAGCAUUAGUUUCUGCCAUACCCUUUCCUUUCCGCAGCAGCCCUUGCUCAGUGUGUAAGCUCCACAGAGUUGAGAAGAUGUCUGACGCCCAGCAGGUAUUGGACUCAUGUUUAUGAAAUGAAUAAAUGGGAAGUCCUAUUUGUCUCCUCUCAGAAGCUGAUUUCCUUGAGAGGGUCCUCAGAAUCACAGGGAGAUGUCCCAAGUAAACGACCCAUGAUCAUGGGGGCUAUUACUGAGCAGAGGCAUCAUGGCCCACAGUCCUAUGACUGCACACCAUGGGCCUUCAUGGGGUUGCAGCUCAUUCCAGUGCCAGUUUUGGGGUGCAUGGUGAAGCCACCUAGUUACAACACUCUCUGUGCCCCAGGGCAUUCUGUGAGAAGUGCAGCAGUAGUAAUUACCCCUAACCAAGAGAAGCUAUAGCUUUCGGUCCACCUCCUCAUGGUGCCAGAUACCCUAAAAUAGCACUCUGACCAAAGGAAGACCCCACAAAAAGCUCAGAAACUGAGAUGUUGCCACCUGAAUGACUUUAACAGGUGCAUCCUGAGUUAUUAUUGGGCUGAAAAAUGCUGCUUUUAAGCAGGGACCGAAAGUAAAUGCAUCCGGUUGUUCUAACUUCGUCAGAGCAUUCUGGGGGUGCCUCUAGAGAGAGAGAAAAUAUGUUCUUUUUCUAAAAAAAUAACUUUUAUGAUUGCUCAAAUAUGAUUAUGGAGAGGAGCAAAGAGUAGAUUAUCAUCAUCAGAAACAACAAACAAACAAACAAACAAAAUCCUAAAGAACAAAGCAAUUUCCCAACCUGGAAUCAUGCAGGAAAAUAGUCUUAUUUUCAGCAUUUAAAAUUGUGUAAGAGACUUAAUAUUUACUCAUUACUCACAUAAGCUCUUGGUAAACACAGCCUCCUAAAUAGUUAAUAGGCACAGACAAACACAUUAUAACAUAAUAGAUUCGAGACUCUAAUGGAAGAGGAAAGAUUUUGAAAUCCACGUGGGAUCGGUGUGGACACAGGGGAGGCUAUAGAGAAAAUUUCCCUGUUGGUUGGACUGUGACCACUGAGGUCUCUAUGUUGUCUGGCAAAGUCCACGGCAGCCUGGCUACCUCCCCCUCCCCAGCUCACUGAGUCCAUAAUGCCGCUGCUGGUUCUUUCUGUCCACCAUGUCUCAGCUCUUUGACAACUGGGCGCUUCCAUGGAUGCUCCCCUGGCCUCCUCCCACAGAGUCCCUGCACACAAGGCCAGCACACAAUCUCACUUGGGUUCCUGGCAACCUUCCACUGCUCAGCUAGCUAGCCAUUACUGAUGGGCAUCUCCAUGGAUCUGCAAUGUCCUGGUUAGGCACAGAGACACAGUUCUUUCGUGGUGCUUAGGAGACAGUUUUGAAGGGCUGGGCUGCCUGAGUCCCAGAAGACUAUUCCAAACUCAGAAUUCAGGAAAACGGUUUGACUAACAGGGCGGUUCUCCAUUUUGGCUGGUCUGGAAUCUCAUGGAUCUGGAAAACAAUACGGAUGCCCUGGCCUAACUCCCAAGGAUGAGAAGUCAGUGGUGCUGUCUCUGGUGCUCUUGGAGAAGGUUAUGGCUUCACCAAAGAGCACCUGAAGGGGAGGUACUUCCUUAAGAGAUGGGUUCUGGUUCAAAUAUGUUUGGUGAACACUGAGUUUAUACCCAAAAAUACAUAAAAUUUAUUUUUAUUCUC